UACGAAGGGGGCUAGCGUUGCUCGGAAUCACUGGGCGUAAAGCGCACGUAGGCGGAUCUUUAAGUCAGGGGUGAAACCCUGGAGCUCAACUCCAGAACUGCCUUUGAUACUGGGGAUCUCGAGUCCGGAAGAGGUGAGUGGAACUCCGAGUGUAGAGGUGAAAUUCGUAGAUAUUCGGAAGAACACCAGUGGCGAAGGCGGCUCACUGGUCCGGUACUGACGCUGAGGUGCGAAAGCGUGGGGAGCAAACAGG
rnacentral:rRNA from 1 species